rnacentral:rRNA from 1 species
UACGUAGGGUGCUAGCGUUAUCCGGAGUUACUGGGCGUAAAGGGCGCGUAGGCGGCGCACCAAGUCAGGCGUGAAAGCCCUGGGCUCAACCCGGGAAUUGCGCUUGAGACUGGUGUGCUUGAGUACGGGAGAGGAUAGUGGAAUUCCCAGUGUAGAGGUGAAAUUCGUAGAUAUUGGGAAGAACACCGGUGGCGAAGGCGGCUAUCUGGACCGUAACUGACGCUGAGGCGCGAAAGCGUGGGGAGCGAACAGG